rnacentral:rRNA from 1 species
UACGUAGGGUGCAAGCGUUAAUCGGAAUUACUGGGCGUAAAGGAUGCGUAGGCGGACAUUUAAGUCAGAUGUGAAAUACCCGAGCUUAACUUGGGUGCUGCAUUUGAAACUGGGUGUCUAGAGUGCAGGAGAGGUAAGUGGAAUUCCUAGUGUAGCGGUGAAAUGCGUAGAGAUUAGGAAGAACACCAGUGGCGAAGGCGACUUACUGGACUGUAACUGACGCUGAGGCAUGAAAGCGUGGGGAGCAAACAGG